GUGAGUGAUUUUUCUAACUUUAUUAUUGUCUAUUUGUUUGUUUUUGUAUGUUCGUUUUGUGUAUUAAGUAGCCUCUCUAGUUUGAUCGGUUAGCUUGGGUUUGUCAACUUUGUUUGGAUUGUUCGUGUAACUUCGUUAACGUCGUUACCGGCCUGGCAGGGCAUAAUGCCCGCAGGUAUGAGUUCGGAGGCGGGUGGGGAAAAGCUUUCACGGCAGCAUGGCGUAAAGCUCUCCCCUGCUGCGCAGGUGUCCGUGGAGGAAUGUUGCUUGGCGAUUGGGGAGAAAGUGGGGUGUAACUCCGUUAAGUUUGCCUCACGAAUGAAUAGUGCGGUGGUCAUUUUUUUAGAUAGUGUGGAUAAGGUUAAUAGUGUCGUGGAGAGUGGAGUAGUGAUUCGCGAUCUAUUUACUCAAGAUCUGCCGAUUGCAAGUCGAGCAAGAAGGAUCCACCAGCUGAGGGGCUGCAGUGGAUGAUGACUGGUUGAAGCAGCCUCGCCUGGCCUGGUCUGACUGGACUCUAGGGCUGGUUGAAGCAGCCUCACCUGUAGCAGUAAUCAGUGAGCACAGGUUAGACCAGCCCUCACACACCAGAUGGCAACAACACCAUGUGUCAUGAUCAAACCUCUCCAGUAACCGGGUUCUAACACCCCCCCUGUGUCCUGAUCUGGAGGAGCCCACAGAAGUCUCCGAGCAGGAGCAACAGCCAGGUGGAGUACAGCACUGUACUGCUACACCAACGCAGAACGCUUCAUUUGUCUUGUGUGUACAAUACCUCAAUGUAACACUGUCGUUUUUUAUGGGUCGUCUUGAAAAAAAACAUGAGGG
ensembl:lncRNA